rnacentral:rRNA from 1 species
UUGGAUUGAGACAACGUACAAACCUUAUCGAUAAACAAUUGGAGGGCAAGUCUGGUGCCAGCAGCCGCGGUAAUUCCAGCUCCAAUAGCGUAUAUUAACGUUGUUGCAGUUAAAAAGCUCGUAGUUGAAAUGAAGGGUAGUUGUGUAAUGAAUACAUUCGUGUAUUUUGUUAUUCUACUACCCUCCUUCUAAAUUCGAUAUAUGAGUAUUAAUUUACUUGUAUAUGGUUUUAGACGUUUACUGUGAGAAAAUUAGAGUGUUCAAAGCAGGCAUUUGCUUGAAUAUAUUAGCAUGGAAUAAUCAUGUAUGAUUUUCAUGAUGUAUUUGAUUGGUUUGGUUCAUGAGAAUAAGAUUAAAAGGGACAGUUGGGGGUAUUCAUAUUCAAUAGUCAGAGGUGAAAUUCUCGGAUUUAUGGAAGAUGAACAAGUGCGAAAGCAUUUACCAAGGAUGUUUUCAUUAAUCAAGAACGAAAGUUAGGGGAUCGAAGAGGAU